UCAGCAGCACUAGCACCAAUUCAAGUCAACUCGCUUCAGUUCAUUGCGAUUCGUUGCGAUGUAGCCCGGUCUGGCCUGGCUUGGCUUGGCGCGGCACAACUUUUGCUUGUGCGGAGUUUCUUGUUUUCCUUCUCGUUGUGGCGUAGUACUCAUAGUCGACGUUGCUUGUCGUAAUUUUUGUCGAUUUUAUUAAUUCCCCUCUCUCCACUUGGUUUUUAUUUUAUUUUUGGUUGGUUUCAUUUAAUUUUUUUCUUCUUUUCUUUUGUGUGUGCUUUAAGUAAUUUUGUUAGUUCUUCGGUUCGCAUUCGAAAUACGCUUUACUACGAACAUAGAGCUACAAUUCAGUGAUUUUGUUACCUUAAUUCAUUGUAAAACAGUAAUGGGAAGAGAGCUUUAACUAUGUAUGUAUACGUAUCUACAAAAUAUACAGAAUUCUUGGAGAAGAUCUGCUCGCUGUAGAAGGUGGUGCCCACGCCUGAUGAAAAAACUGUGUUCUAAAGUCAGAAGUGAAGGCCGGAUCAAGAUGUAAUAGGUACUGCUGGCACCGAAAGUUCCUGGUUUACCUCAGUCUCAGUCUCAGCCGAAAGCGAAAACGGCCGACAUAAGCAGUUAUCAAAGCUUUCGGAAGGUAGUUAAAGUUUACAGCAAUGGCACACAACAGAUGCAAUCGGUACUAUCAACAUUAGAACCAGAGUACCAACAGCGGGUAGUCCAAAGGCUAGUUCCUCUCGCAAUAUUUAUAGAAACGAACCGUGGGACAUGCAGCGCAACCUCCAAACGUCCUGCGCCCUCCAGCAAUAAGCUCAUCACCCAACGAAUAGGAUUUGAUAAGCUUGCUUGCACAGGACUUUACAAGAAAUAACUAUUUCCCAAGCCGCAUCUUCGAUUCCCGUAUUGCUGCUUUAGUUCAGUCAGGCUGUUUGAAUGGACUAGAUCCAGAGAAGCGCUGUUGGAUGGAUGAAAGGCGCUAGUUUCCAUACCGAGCAUUUCUACGUAUCUAAUAAAGUACUUCACAUCGCCCGCGGCCACCUCAUCAAGAGUUGGAACUUGGUAUGAAUGAGCAGAAUACUGUUCCAACAGAAGCGUUAUGCUUGACUAUAUAAGAUACCUCACAGACGAGGUUAACGACAAGUUUUUAUCUACAUAUGUAUAUGCACUUAUACGUAUUCCAACACUAGGGCUAUUGUUUGCGAGACUACAUUUAUAAACAAGGAAUAGCCCUUUUCUAACAAUUGUGAGAGGUAACGGUAGUGACACCUUGCUAGUUGAGGGUCCCUCUUUACUUCCGUCGGCCUACAUGAGCGUGAUCCAAAGAGCCAACGGUUAUCUAUAUGCCCCGCGUGCUACUGAGCUCCUGUAGAUCUCUUGUGACCUAGAGUAAAAUGUUCGGCUUGAUUCCGGAACGAGCCUCUAAAAUGUCCCUAGACACCAGAAUGACAGCAAAAUCGGAUGGUUUAUGAGCCUCAUAGUUUCUCACAACAGCAACAGAGCUUCACCUACAUAUAUAUGUACAUAAAAGGGACUAUUUCUCAAAAAGCUUGUUUUGAAGUUAGGCAUUUUAUGCAUUUAUUGAUUGCAUUAGGGAAAUUUUCAAACUAAGGCAGCUAAGCCUGUGCUGGUUGGUGGUGUAGCUGCUGGUGCCAUGGGCUGUUAAGUCGUUGCGAGUUUCACUUUGGCGCGCGUGGCACACAACACCACAUCGAUGGCAAUGCGACACACACAUACACACACAUAAAUACAUGCAUACCCAAUUAGCCACAGAACGAAGACGGGCUCGAAUCAAUUCGACGGCGUUAUAGUGAACUCGUCUUAUUGAACUUGAGAAACUUUCCGAAAUCAGUUCGAGUUUUGAGCCAGUUUAAACUUGUACUCUUUAUAAAUACUAAUUAUAUAAACGGGAUUUAAAAUUGGCUUUUUAAAAAUGGCUUUUUAAUUCUUAAAAUUCAUUGAAAAAUAUGGACCUACAAAAAAGAACAAAAUGAACUAAUUUAAAUAAUUUUUUAAAAAGAAAUAAUUUUUUUUUUGUGUUCUUGUAUAUUUGUUUUAACAGAGAAAAUAAGCAAUACCCCUGAAGAUGCUAGAAAAGGUUUAGCGAAACUUCGGGUAAAAAGUGGAAUAAUGUAAUUUUCUUUGCCUACUAGCCUAUAAACAUAAAAUUAAACAAAUUUGAACCGAUCGGGCAAAAAUAUAUAAAAAAAAAAAUGUGUUUUAAAAUUGUAGUAUGGCAUACAUUUUUAGUGGUUCGCCUACGUGUCUUAUUUACAGGCCGCCGGCGAACUGUGCCUUUCAUCUUCUGACGAGUUCAGCAGCGAGGCAUCGACGAUGAACGGUGGCGUACAAAUUGUUCACCAGAAAGUUGACGUCGAUACGAAGUCAUUUGGCAUAUUGGGUAUUUAUACUUACAUACGAACUAAGUAUAUACACAAGUAUUUAUUCGCCCAUUUUCGUACGUCGAUUCGUUAUAUCGUGGAUGGAACGUCCUCGAACAAACUCAAAGUACACAAAGCACCGGUUGCAACAAUAACAAACAGGCAAUCGAGCAAUAACGAUGGUUCAGACAAACAACAGUAAUAGCAGCACGUCAACGGCAACGGCGCAACAGGAACGACUGUGGCUAUGGCGGCAACGACAACAGCCGCAAUUGACGCUAGUCCGAUAGAGUCGGCGGAGCCAAAGUAUAAGCUACAGCAUUUGCAGCGGUGCUGGGCGAUGUACACCGCUCGUUUCUGUAAGCCUAACUAGAUGGCUGUUGGAACAAAUGCCUGCUUCGUUAGCACCGCAAUGCUGUGUGACUCGGCUGAAGUGGUUUGGUUGAUGUGGCGCGACAAAGUAAUCGCAUGUAGGUACAGUGGUGCAGUGCCACUCUGGUUCGAUUAGGACUUUUCGCUUCUAAAGCCAAAUACUGCGAUAUAAUUCCAUGAUCUACUCAAGGUUUGAUUAAUUAAAUUGCAACAGAUGUCUUCGUCAGGCAUUGGGGAGCAUCCAUAGACAAUUAGUUGAAGCGAAAGGCCCGCCCGCGCCAGGUCCGCCAAUGAAGAACGUUCGUCAGGCAACGCGACGUCGAGACUAUCCAGUUCAACGGAUAGCCGAAAAAUGUCGCAAUCGGCUCUCAGUACUGCAAGAAACUCUUCUUUGACGUGAUAUAAAUGAGCAGUAGCAAUCCAUCUCCCAAUCUCUUCGUGCCGCUGCGGAGGAAGUGGUUGGAUACUACCGCCCACGCAAGAGGAACUGUUAUUGCCGGACAGUAUCGUAUUUCUGCUGCGGAGAAAUAUACAGCACACAAAGCAACCGUGCAGCCAAUAGCUAUGCGGGCGACAGGUUAAUGGUACCAGGGGAUGAGGAUAUAGCAGAGAACUUUAUUCAAAAGAUAUACCAGAGGCUGAAAGACGUGAAUGCGAAGGGUUUCAAAUGUUGGCAGACAGGAAUGCGGCUCGAAAAUUCUAUAAGAAAAUAAGGCAGCAAUCAAAUGGUUUCAAUACCGGGGCUGGGGAGGCCAUCAAUAAGGCGGCUUAAAAGUAUCGUGACUACCGGAGCCGACCGUAUACCGGCUCCGGCGGCGAAGAGGUGGUCGGCCGCCCGAAGAUUGGAAUCUCAGGGUACCUUAUCCAAUUCACAAGAAGGGAGAUCCCGAAGUUUACGCAAUACUGCUUGAAAGACCCAAGCCCUUCAGGAACCAAAUGAUUUGACUUACUCAGUGUUGCUUCAGACCUAGUAUGUCAGCCAACUUUCAGCUCCGGGAAAAUCGGGACGGACCUCUCCGUUAGAGACCAAACGAGGCUCUAUAUAAAAGGCGAUUCACUCUCGUGCUGGAAAGGUCAUAAGAGCUGGCAAUCCGGGUCGCAGCGGCACCACACAUAGCAAAACCUGACCUGAAACCCAGUAAUUCAGCGCAGCACUCUGCAGCUUAGAAAAAGAAGAUAAGAGAGCGGUGAACGAGGACAAGACAAAGUACUUGCUGGUUACACAUACAAAGUCUUCGCGUAUUAGGACACACGUCAGUGAUGACAGUCAUAACUCUGAAGUAGCGAAGAAUUUUGUCUACCUGGGAUCCAGCAUAAACAUUACCUAAAAUUCCAACCUGGAGAUAAAGUGAAGAAUAACUCUUGCCAACAGUUGCUACUUUGGUCUCGGUAGCCAAUUUAAAAGAAAAGCGCCCUGCUGACGAACAAACGAAUCUCUCAUCAUGCCCGUGCUUUUAUAUGGCGCAGAGAUAUGGACGAUGGGAUAUUGGGUAAGCGGAGAAAAGAUCUUUCGACUACGCACCCAUUGGUGGACAGCGAAAGCUAUUGCGCUUACGAACUAAAUGGAAGGACGAAGUGCAGAAGGACCUGCCCGCACUUGUGAUGAACAACGAAAGUUUUUGGUCUCGACUCAAACCAAUAAACGGUUGCCAACUAUGAAGAAGAAAGCUUUGCUAUGAAUUUUCUUUGAAUUACUUUUACUGCUUUUUUAAUAUGGUUAUGUAAAUAAAAUAAUAACAUUUAAGAAUUCCCUAAAAGCAAGUAGGGCUAAUACAAGGUUUGUUUUCGAAACAAAUGGAACUUUUGAAGAUACAUUUGUCUUUUUUAUAUGUAAGAGUGUCUGCUUGCUUCUUUCUCUAAGAUUUGUCAUUGUGAUGUAAUAAUACGGUUUGUGGCGGAAGUUGUGGAGCUUUCAGUAGCAAAUUUCGGCAAUAUUUCCAGGUUGCACAAGCGGUGGGUGCAGCCUUUCAGUAUCACUUACACCUCAUUUUCUUGCAAGAUAUCCUUAAUCCCAAUAACCGAUCGGAACAUUCAUUCAUCGCUUAGUCGAUUUGGGACAAUAAUAUUAACAAUAAAUAAGAAUAUCGCCAUAAAUACACGACGACAAUAUUAUCUGUAAAGGCACUUAGUAUCGUAGGUAAAAAUCUACGAAAAUAGAAAAUGUGUACCGGGAGCAAUAUGGGUCAACUGAGUUGGCUGAAAAUAGUAUGGCUGUCUUGUCAUGAAAUGUGAAUGAGAUAGAAUGCUUUUUCAAAAUAGUACCCGUUGGUUUGACGUAGCAUAUCUUUUUACGAUUAAAAAUAUCUAAUUUAAAACAGAGACGUAACUAAUAUGAUGAGAUCAGGAAAUAUUUUUAGCUACCUGAAAAACCGAAUCGCCCACUGUUCCCCAACUGCGACUCAUAUAACAUAAGUAUGUAUAGCCAACAGCUUAACGAACAGAGAGCAACAAUAACGAUGCAAAAAUAAUAAAAAACAAAAACAACAGCAGAAAGCUUCCACACACUUCGACAACGACAUCACCACCGGCAGUAACAACGGCAAUGGCGCGCACCUAGGCACCAGACAACAUCAAUGCCCGAAUGCUACCUCAGCUGCGGUACAUUUGUUGAGCCAUGUAUUGAGGGUAUGAAAAAUUACGUUUAACUGAAAUUCAUGGAGAAACCAAAUUUAAAAACUAAAAAAAGGCGUCGCAAGUUUGAAAAUACUUUUUGCCAGCUGUAUGCUAGGGCACACACAUACAUAAGUUCAUAUACUUUGUGUAUGUAUAUUUUCUUCUUCUUAUACUACUUCGAGUUGAUCGCGAACGCACCCAUCUUAUGACCGACUGCCACUUGAACGCAACGUAAAUUUAGAAUGCUGAGUGUCGUCAUCGCCGGAAUGUUUGGCCUUUUCACUUUAUUUUUUAUUAAUUAUUGCACUGAGGUAUUGAUGUGUCUGACUUAAAAAUAAACAUCUAAUUUUCGUUGGAGUCUUCGCAUAGAACCGACAGAUCGCACCCACUGUCAUUGUCAUUCGCGCAUUCAUUCAGUGGUUCACACACGAGCGUAGUAGACUGCACCCGCUCGGGAGAUCUAGCUUUUAUUUUAUGUAGCAGGCAUGCGGUCAGUUUGUAUACUACUGCCUCAUCCAACCCAACCUGUCAGCUUUCCCACCCUUUCAUCUAUAAUUAGCGUACAUUCUGAGCGUCCGUCUGUUGAUCGUCACUCCAGAUUUUGAAGAAGUAAAAUCUCUACCAACAAGAUCCGUCAUAUAUUAGUCACGGAGCUGCACCAGCAAUAAUUCUUCCGCCGUUACUUCUCCCCAUCAGCUCUUGUAAAUUGACGGGAAAAAAUCUUGCGCUAAUUGUUGCCACUCGUCACAGCGUCGCACCAGCAGGAGCAGUUGUGGCGACUGCAGCUUUUCCAUCACUCGCCACUCACAGUUGGAUGCCUAUGUACACUAGGGUGGUCCAAAAUAAACAAGUUUAAAAUGUUAAAAUGCCUUACCU